rnacentral:rRNA from 1 species
CACGUAGGGUGCGAGCGUUGUCCGGAAUUAUUGGGCGUAAAGAGCUUGUAGGCGGUCUGUCGCGUCUGCUGUGAAAAUCCGGGGCUCAACCCCGGACUUGCAGUGGGUACGGGCAGACUAGAGUGCGGUAGGGGAGACUGGAAUUCCUGGUGUAGCGGUGAAAUGCGCAGAUAUCAGGAGGAACACCGGUGGCGAAGGCGGGUCUCUGGGCCGUAACUGACGCUGAGGAGCGAAAGCAUGGGGAGCGAACAGG